AAAGCGGGGGGGGGGGUCUACCCCUUUUGGGGCAUGAACUUCUGUAAAGGAUCCUUUCCGUAAGGGGGGCCUGCGGAAGGAUCAUUACAGAGUUCAUGCCCGAAAGGGUAGACCUCCCACCCUUGUGUAUUAUUACUUUGUUGCUUUGGCGAGCUGCCUUCGGGCCUUGUAUGCUCGCCAGAGGAUAAUUAAACUCUUUUUAUUAAUGUCGUCUGAGUACUAUAUAAUAGUUAAAACUUUCAACAACGGAUCUCUUGGUUCUGGCAUCGAUGAAGAACGCAGCGAAAUGCGAUAAGUAAUGUGAAUUGCAGAAUUCAGUGAAUCAUCGAAUCUUUGAACGCACAUUGCGCCCCUUGGUAUUCCGGGGGGCAUGCCUGUUCGAGCGUCAUUUCAACCCUCAAGCACAGCUUGGUAUUGAGUCUAUGUCAGUAAUGGCAGGCUCUAAAAUCAGUGGCGCGCCGCUGGGUCCUGAACGUAGUAAUAUCUCUCGUUACAGGUUCUCAGUGUGCUUCUGCCAAAACCCAAAUUUUCUAUGGUUGACCUCGGAUCAGGUAGGGAUACCCGCUGAACUUAAGCAUAUCAAAGCCGGGGAAGAAAAUCAU
rnacentral:sRNA from 1 species